UAACUUUUUUAUUAAUUCAUAUCCAUAUAGAAUACAAAAUGUUAUACAUUUUAUAAUUUUUUAAUAUUCUGCAAUUUUUUACUAUUUUAUAACUUGAAGAAAGUUCUAUGAACGAGACUGAGACUGUUUCAUGACAAAUUCUCAUGAAGUUAGUGUAUAACGUGUCAGACCACGUAUGUCAUUCAAACAUACUGAACUGUGUAUUAUAAAAUAAUUCUAUAAGAUGAUUACAGAUGUACAGCUGGCUGUAUUCUGCAACAUUCUCGGAGCAACAUUAUUUUGCUUAGUAUUUCUUUUUCACUAUGUAUAUGCAAAUUAUACGAAAUAAAAGAGUAACAUGUUGUUACUGAACAUAA